rnacentral:rRNA from 1 species
CCUACGGGUGGCAGCAGUGAGAAUACUGGUCAAUGGGCGAGAGCCUGAACCAGCCAAGUCGCGUGAGGGAAGACGGUCCUAUGGAUUGUAAACCUCUUUUGCCGGGGAACAAAAAGCGUUACGUGUACAGCAUCGAGAGUACCCGGAGAAAAAGCAUCGGCUAACUCCGGGACAGCAGCCGCGCUAAUACGGAGGGUGAGAUCGUUAUCAGGAUUUAUUGGGUUUAAAGGGUGCGCAGGCGGCAAGUUAUGUCAGCGGUAAAAUUUCGGGGGUCAAACCCGCCAAGCCGUUGAAACUGGCUUGCUAGAGUGGGCGAGAAGUAUGCGGAAUGCGUGGUGUAGCGGUGAAAUGCAUAGAUAUCACGCAGAACUCCGAUUGCGAAGGCAGCAUACCGGCGCCCAACUGACGCUCAGGCACGAAAGCGUGGGUAUCGAACAGGAUUAGAUACCCCAGUAGUC